GACGGGUGAGUAACACGUGGGCAACCUGCCCUUGAGACGGGGAUAACUCCGGGAAACCGGAGCUAAUACCGGAUAACACAUAUCUUCGCAUGAGGAUAUGUUAGAAGGUGGCUUUUAGCUACCACUCAAGGAUGGGCCCGCGGCGCAUUAGCUAGUUGGUGAGGUAACGGCUCACCAAGGCGACGAUGCGUAGCCGACCUGAGAGGGUGAUCGGCCACACUGGGACUGAGACACGGCCCAGACUCCUACGGGAGGCAGCAGUAGGGAAUCUUCCGCAAUGGACGAAAGUCUGACGGAGCAACGCCGCGUGAGUGAUGAAGGUUUUCGGAUCGUAAAGCUCUGUUGUUAGG
rnacentral:rRNA from 2 species